rnacentral:rRNA from 1 species
GACGAACGCUGGCGGCGUGCUUAACACAUGCAAGUCGUACGGUAAGGCCCUUUCGGGGGUACACGAGUGGCGAACGGGUGAGUAACACGUGAGUAACCUGCCCACAACUUUGGGAUAACGCUAGGAAACUGGUGCUAAUACUGGAUAUGUGCCCCUGCUGCCUGGUGGGGGUUGGAAAGCUCCGGCGGUUGUGGAUGGACUCGCGGCCUAUCAGCUUGUUGGUGGGGUAGUGGCCUACCAAGGCGGCGACGGGUAGCCGGCCUGAGAGGGUGACCGGCCACAUUGGGACUGAGAUACGGCCCAGACUCCUACGGGGGGCAGCAGUGGGGAAUAUUGCACAAUGGGCGCAAGCCUGAUGCAGCAACGCCGCGUGCGGGAUGACGGCCGUCGGGUUGUAAACCGCUUUCAGCAGGGACGAAGCUUUUUGUGACGGUACCUGCAGAAGAAGCACCGGCUAACUACGUG